CCGGAAUGCUGGUGGGUAAAGCGAGCGUGGGCGGUUUGUGAAGUCUGAUGUGAAGGUCUGCGGAUCAACCUGGGAGGGUUAAUGGAAACUGGAAGAGUGGAGGGCAGAAGAGGAAGGUGGAAUUACAUGUGUAGCGGUGAAGUGCGUAGCGAUAUGGAGGAACACCAGUGGCGAAGGCGACUUUCUGGUCUGUAACUGACGCUGUUGUGCGAAAGCGUGGGGAUCAAACAGGAUUAUAUACACUUGUAGUCCACGCCGCACACGCUGUGUGCUAGGUGUCUGGGGGCUUCCGCCCCUUAGUGCUGCACCUACCGUAUUAAGCACGCCGCCUGGGGCCGCAGACUGAAAGUUUGCAACUCCACAGAAUUGACGAGGAC
rnacentral:rRNA from 1 species